GUCAGCUCUGUGAGGAGAAGCCCAUGAGAAAUCACCAAGAAGCUUUCUUCCUGUCUAAGGACUUGGUAUUCACAAAAAGAAAAAAGGAUCAAGACAGACAUUUUGGAAGGUUUGGCUACACUACUGGUGGCAUAAAAGGAAAGGACUGAGGAACAAAAAAACACUCUAGGAUGCUGAGAGAGAUAUCUUUAUUUAUUUUUUUUCCCAAUGCAUUCUUCUUGGCUCUGGCUACCUGUAGAUGUGGACAGCAGCUCCCAGGGUUCAUAUGUCAGUCUUGUCAAGCAAUGUUGGCAUGAGGACUGUA